CAGCAGCAGCCGCGGUAAUACGAAGGGUGCAAGCGUUAAUCGGAAUUACUGGGCGUAAAGCGUGCGUAGGCGGUGAGUUAAGUCUGCUGUGAAAUCCCCGGGCUCAACCUGGGAAUGGCAGUGGAUACUGGCUCGCUAGAGUGUGUCAGAGGAUGGUGGAAUUCCCGGUGUAGCGGUGAAAUGCGUAGAGAUCGGGAGGAACAUCAGUGGCGAAGGCGGCCAUCUGGGACAACACUGACGCUGAGGCACGAAAGCGUGGGGAGCAAACAGGAUUAGAUACCCCAGUAGUCCCUGUCUCUUAUAC
rnacentral:rRNA from 1 species